rnacentral:tRNA from 1 species
GGACUGUGGCUCAGUGCAAGAGCCUCAGCUUUGCAAGUGGAAGGUCCCAGGUUCAAUUCCCAGCAUCUCCA